AGGCUUCGUUCAGCAUUUUGGCAUCCUGAUCCACAUCAAAACCUUGAUGACUUCUUGCUUUGGCCUGGAGAAAAUAAUUGAAAAGAGACAAGAAACCCCUAAAGCCAACAUUGUGUGUGAUUGUGUCUCAAACGCAGCCAACUUUGAGUGGGAGGCUUGUUUUUAAAGGAAGAAGGUAACGAUUCUUCUGAAAACAACCCACACAAGAGAAGAGUCAUCUAGCUAAAUCUGAGCAGAUUUUCCUGUGGAUCUUACUUUUCUGUCUAUGCACAAAGCUCACUGAGCACAAGGUCAUGUCCUCUAGGCUAAGCAAACUCUUUGAAUAUUGCUUGAUUAGCAAAUGAUAGUAAUCGCGAUUAUUACUGCUCCAAAUAGGUUAGUCACAAACACGAUGUCUUCAGUUGAAAAGAAUCAUUAAUGAUUGCAAAGGGAUUGGGGGAAAGCGCAAAACAAAAAAGUAAAUUUUCAAUCCUCAGAAUUGGCUAGGAAGCCCUCUGUAUCACAGCACCUUGGAAAAUGUAAUUUCCUGGCCAAUAUCCUACUGGCUUUGGAGUAUUGUUUGUCAAGCAUCUGUCUGGGCAUCCUGGUCUGUGGACAUAUCCUUGGGACUUUGUAACUUUCCUAGUAGGCUUUUAAAAUAUGUAUUUACUGCUGGUAAUAACUUAAAAACUAAAUAUAAAGCAUAUUGAGUCAUUAGGAUGACCAAGGCUAGCACAUGAUUUCAACGCCUGCAUUUGUGUUUCUAUUUAUGAAUGUGUAUAUGCCGAAUAGCCAUAUUUUAAUUGUUGCAAGCAAAUGAUAAAAGAACAGAGAACAGAGGGAGGUUUAAUACAAAAAUCACACAUUUUAGCCAA